CUGUAUCCCAAACAAAAAUAAAAAAAAAUUAUAUUAUAUAUAUAUAAAUAUAUAUAUAAAAGAGUGACGAAAAAAAAUAUAUACAUAUGCAUCAAUCUUGUCCUGUAUUUGUGAAAUAAUGCAAUGCCAAAUCUGGGAACAGCAUUUUUCUUUAAAUGUAAUUGAAUGCUUUCGUUUCGAAGCACUAUCUCUGAUCCCCAUGCUACCGAAAUGACCUAUGUGAUACAUCUAUAUAGUGACUUGUACCGGUUGUACUCUUUUCCCUACUGGCAACUUGCCAGGAUCUUUGGUGAUGUCAUUGCACGUGCAAUAAAACAUGCCCUUUUGACCAAUGGUAUUCGUUCCCCGAGCUUGUCUGUCGUCUUCAAGAAGUGCUGUUCCCAGCAUUCGGUAGUUAGACGAGAUACAAUAUGUCCUCCUCGUCCGAGUUGUUUUGUUUUCUUUAUGUUUUUUCUCUGGCUUUGAUACUCCAGACUUGUUGGCACCAAUAAAGUGGGACAUAACAUAAAAUAAAAAAAAAAAAAUGUGAUUUAAGAAAUUCAAACAUGCAAGUUUCAAUGAAAAUUAUCCAGUUGAUUGACAGCUAGUGGUCUUGUUUUGCACAUAUGUUUUGAACUGAAAUGAAAUCUAAAUGUAGAACUCAAGAUGUGUUAGAUAUAUGCUGUUGGUUGAUUACAAAUAAUCUAAUGUUGCUGUAUUAAAUUUCUGCAUGAAUGAAAAAUUAAUAAGUUUGCAGAAUGAUUGCAAAAUAUAAAAAAUUUCUAACCACAUGACAUAUAAUAUGAGAUGAAUACUCGCUACAUUUUAAUCCAAUAGUUGCUGAUCAGAUAAAGGGUAUUGAUGAUAAAUUCUUAUUAGUAAAUCA
rnacentral:lncRNA from 1 species